ACAAGCGGUGGAGUAUGUGGUUAAUUCGAUGCAACGCGAAGAACUUACCUGGUCUUGACAUCCCGGAGACCCUUAGGAACUAGGGGUGCUUCCAUCUGGAAGAAUCUGGAGACAGGUGCUGCAUGGCUGUCGUCAGCUCGUGUCGUGAGAUGUUGGGUUAAGUCCCGCAACGAGCGCAACCCUUGCCUUUAGUUGCCAGCAGUUCGGCUGGGCACUCUAAAGGGACUGCCGGUGUUAAACCGGAGGAAGGUGGGGAUGACGUCAAGUCCUCAUGGCCUUUAUGACCAGGGCUACACACGUACUACAAUGGCCGAUACAAAGGGCAGCGACACUGCGAGGUGAAGCCAAUCCCGUAAAAUCGGUCUCAGUCCGGAUUGGAGUCUGCAACUCGACUCCAUGAAGUUGGAAUCGCUAGUAAUCGUGGAUCAGCAUGCCACGGUGAAUACGUUCCCGGGCCUU
rnacentral:rRNA from 1 species